rnacentral:rRNA from 1 species
GGGUUGUGAGGUUAAGCGACUAAGCGUACACGGUGGAUGCCCUGGCAGUCAGAGGCGAUGAAGGACGUGCUAAUCUGCGAUAAGCGUCGGUAAGGUGAUAUGAACCGUUAUAACCGGCGAUUUCCGAAUGGGGAAACCCAGUGUGAUUCGUCACACUAUCAUUAACUGAAUCCAUAGGUUAAUGAGGCGAACCGGGGGAACUGAAACAUCUAAGUACCCCGAGGAAAAGAAAUCAACCGAGAUUCCCCCAGUAGCGGCGAGCGAACGGGGAGCAGCCCAGAGCCUGAAUCAGUGUGUGUGUUAGUGGAAGCGUCUGGAAAGGCGCGCGAUACAGGGUGACAGCCCCGUACACAAAAAUGCACAUACUGUGAGCUCGAUGAGUAGGGCGGGACACGUGGUAUCCUGUCUGAAUAUGGGGGGACCAUCCUCCAAGGCUAAAUACUCCUGACUGACCGAUAGUGAACCAGUACCGUGAGGGAAAGGCGAAAAGAACCCCGGCGAGGGGAGUGAAAAAGAACCUGAAACCGUGUACGUACAAGCAGUGGGAGCCUCUUAAUGGGGUGACUGCGUACCUUUUGUAUAAUGGGUCAGCGACUUAUAUUCUGUAGCAAGGUUAACCGAAUAGGGGAGCCGAAGGGAAACCGAGUCUUAACUGGGCGUUAAGUUGCAGGGUAUAGACCCGAAACCCGGUGAUCUAGCCAUGGGCAGGUUGAAGGUUGGGUAACACUAACUGGAGGACCGAACCGACUAAUGUUGAAAAAUUAGCGGAUGACUUGUGGCUGGGGGUGAAAGGCCAAUCAAACCGGGAGAUAGCUGGUUCUCCCCGAAAGCUAUUUAGGUAGCGCCUCGUGAAUUCAUCUCCGGGGGUAGAGCACUGUUUCGGCAAGGGGGUCAUCCCGACUUACCAACCCGAUGCAAACUGCGAAUACCGGAGAAUGUUAUCACGGGAGACACACGGCGGGUGCUAACGUCCGUCGUGAAGAGGGAAACAACCCAGACCGCCAGCUAAGGUCCCAAAGUCAUGGUUAAGUGGGAAACGAUGUGGGAAGGCCCAGACAGCCAGGAUGUUGGCUUAGAAGCAGCCAUCAUUUAAAGAAAGCGUAAUAGCUCACUGGUCGAGUCGGCCUGCGCGGAAGAUGUAACGGGGCUAAACCAUGCACCGAAGCUGCGGCAGCGACACUAUGUGUUGUUGGGUAGGGGAGCGUUCUGUAAGCCUGUGAAGGUGUACUGUGAGGUAUGCUGGAGGUAUCAGAAGUGCGAAUGCUGACAUAAGUAACGAUAAAGCGGGUGAAAAGCCCGCUCGCCGGAAGACCAAGGGUUCCUGUCCAACGUUAAUCGGGGCAGGGUGAGUCGACCCCUAAGGCGAGGCCGAAAGGCGUAGUCGAUGGGAAACAGGUUAAUAUUCCUGUACUUGGUGUUACUGCGAAGGGGGGACGGAGAAGGCUAUGUUGGCCGGGCGACGGUUGUCCCGGUUUAAGCGUGUAGGCUGGUUUUCCAGGCAAAUCCGGAAAAUCAAGGCUGAGGCGUGAUGACGAGGCACUACGGUGCUGAAGCAACAAAUGCCCUGCUUCCAGGAAAAGCCUCUAAGCAUCAGGUAACAUCAAAUCGUACCCCAAACCGACACAGGUGGUCAGGUAGAGAAUACCAAGGCGCUUGAGAGAACUCGGGUGAAGGAACUAGGCAAAAUGGUGCCGUAACUUCGGGAGAAGGCACGCUGAUAUGUAGGUGAAGCGACUUGCUCGUGGAGCUGAAAUCAGUCGAAGAUACCAGCUGGCUGCAACUGUUUAUUAAAAACACAGCACUGUGCAAACACGAAAGUGGACGUAUACGGUGUGACGCCUGCCCGGUGCCGGAAGGUUAAUUGAUGGGGUUAGCGGUAACGCGAAGCUCUUGAUCGAAGCCCCGGUAAACGGCGGCCGUAACUAUAACGGUCCUAAGGUAGCGAAAUUCCUUGUCGGGUAAGUUCCGACCUGCACGAAUGGCGUAAUGAUGGCCAGGCUGUCUCCACCCGAGACUCAGUGAAAUUGAACUCGCUGUGAAGAUGCAGUGUACCCGCGGCAAGACGGAAAGACCCCGUGAACCUUUACUAUAGCUUGACACUGAACAUUGAGCCUUGAUGUGUAGGAUAGGUGGGAGGCUUUGAAGUGUGGACGCCAGUCUGCAUGGAGCCGGCCUUGAAAUACCACCCUUUAAUGUUUGAUGUUCUAACGUUGGCCCCUGAUCGGGGUUGCGGACAGUGUCUGGUGGGUAGUUUGACUGGGGCGGUCUCCUCCUAAAGAGUAACGGAGGAGCACGAAGGUUGGCUAAUCCUGGUCGGACAUCAGGAGGUUAGUGCAAUGGCAUAAGCCAGCUUGACUGCGAGCGUGACGGCGCGAGCAGGUGCGAAAGCAGGUCAUAGUGAUCCGGUGGUUCUGAAUGGAAGGGCCAUCGCUCAACGGAUAAAAGGUACUCCGGGGAUAACAGGCUGAUACCGCCCAAGAGUUCAUAUCGACGGCGGUGUUUGGCACCUCGAUGUCGGCUCAUCACAUCCUGGGGCUGAAGUAGGUCCCAAGGGUAUGGCUGUUCGCCAUUUAAAGUGGUACGCGAGCUGGGUUUAGAACGUCGUGAGACAGUUCGGUCCCUAUCUGCCGUGGGCGCUGGAGAACUGAGGGGGGCUGCUCCUAGUACGAGAGGACCGGAGUGGACGCAUCACUGGUGUUCGGGUUGUCAUGCCAAUGGCACUGCCCGGUAGCUAAAUGCGGAAGAGAUAAGUGCUGAAAGCAUCUAAGCACGAAACUUGCCCCGAGAUGAGUUCUCCCUGACUCCUUGAGAGUCCUGAAGGAACGUUGAAGACGACGACGUUGAUAGGCCGGGUGUGUAAGCGCAGCGAUGCGUUGAGCUAACCGGUACUAAUGAACCGUGAGGCUUAACCUUACAACGCCGAAG